rnacentral:ncRNA from 1 species
CUAUGUAGUUGCUCAACUGGGCCAUUAGUUAAAUUUAAUAUAGAAAAUAUUAAAUUUGUUCUUCUGCAUUUUGACAAAUUGCUGGAAGCUUUUAUUAAAAGGUAACUUAACGAAGGUUAUAUCGUUCGAGUUCACCUUGAUAAUAGGAAUCAGCAGCCAAGCUUUAUAAUUAAAGUAGGUUCAGAGACUAAACGUCAAAUAUCUUUUUAAAUAAAACUAUAUACAUUCGGGACGAAGUCCCGAAAUAUUACCUUAAUAUGAUACUUAUAUUCUUACGCGAGCGAGGAGCUUGCGUCCUAUAGGUUUAACUAAUCAAAAAAAAUACCAUUAGAAUACUAAGGUGAUUCACUUUUGCUAUACUAGUAUUAUUUACAUAAGGUAAAGAUAUAGUCCAAAUAAUAGAAAAAUUAUA